UAGGGAAUCUUCCGCAAUGGGCGAAAGCCUGACGGAGCAACGCCGCGUGAGUGAUGAAGGUCUUCGGAUCGUAAAACUCUGUUAUCAGGGAAGAACAAAUGUGUAAGUAACUGUGCACAUCUUGACGGUACCUGAUCAGAAAGCCACGGCUAACUACGUGCCAGCAGCCGCGGUAAUACGUAGGUGGCAAGCGUUAUCCGGAAUUAUUGGGCGUAAAGCGCGCGUAGGCGGUUUUUUAAGUCUGAUGUGAAAGCCCACGGCUCAACCGUGGAGGGUCAUUGGAAACUGGAAAACUUGAGUGCAGAAGAGGAAGGUGGAAUUCCAUGUGUAGCGGUGAAAUGCGCAGAGAUAUGGAGGAACACCAGUGGCGAAGGCGACUUUCUGGUCUGUAACUGACGCUGAUGUGCGAAAGCGUGGGGAUCAAACA
rnacentral:rRNA from 1 species